AAUGAGCCUGCGAGUUGUGGUGUCUGGCAAGGUUAAGCAAACGCGAAGCCGUAGCGAAAGCGAGUCUGAAUAGGGCGCUUAGUCAGAUGCUGCAGACCCGAAACGAAGUGAUCUAUCCAUGAGCAAGUUGAAGCUAGUGUAAGAACUAGUGGAGGACUGAACCCAUAGGCGUUGAAAAGCCCCGGGAUGACUUGUGGAUAGGGGUGAAAGGCCAAUCAAACUUCGUGAUAGCUGGUUCUCUCCGAAAUAUAUUUAGGUAUAGCGUUGUGUCGUAAUAUAAGGGGGUAGAGCACUGAAUGGGCUAGGGCAUACACCAAUGUACCAAACCCUAUCAAACUCCGAAUACCUUAUAUGUAAUCACAGCAGUCAGGCGGCGAGUGAUAAAAUCCGUCGUCAAGAGGGAAACAACCCAGACUACCAGCUAAGGUCCCUAAAUCUUACUUAAGUGGAAAACGAUGUGAAGUUACUUAAACAACCAGGAGGUUGGCUUAGAAGCAGCCAUCCUUUAAAGAAAGCGUAAUAGCUCACUGGUCUAGUGAUUUUGCGCGGAAAAUAUAACGGGGCUAAAGUAAGUACCGAAGCUGUAGACUUGCGCACAACUUAGAUUAUUUAAGUUUAGAAUAUGAGAAACUAAGUUAUAUGUUUAGUUAUAUUUUUACUGAUUUUUAUAGAGUAAAGAUAGAAAUAAAACUUAGUAAAAUCAGUAAAAAUAUUCUUAGACUAAAGUUAAGUAGUUUAAGUUGUGUGCAAGUGGUAGGAGAGCGUUCUAUUUGCGUCGAAGGUAUACCGGUAAGGAGUGCUGGAGCGAAUAGAAGUGAGCAUGCAGGCAUGAGUAGCGAUAAUUAAUGUGAGAAUCAUUAACGCCGUAAACCCAAGGUUUCCUACGCGAUGCUCGUCAUCGUAGGGUUAGUCGGGUCCUAAGUCGAGUCCGAAAGGGGUAGACGAUGGCAAAUUGGUUAAUAUUCCAAUACCAACAUUAGUGUGCGAUGGAAGGACGCUUAGGGCUAAGGGGGCUAGCGGAUGGAAGUGCUAGUCUAAGGUCGUAGGAGGUUAUACAGGCAAAUCCGUAUAACAAUACUCCGAGAACUGAAAGGCUUUUUGAAGUCUUCGGAUGGAUAGAAGAACCCCUGAUGCCAUCGAGCCAAGAAAAGUUUCUAAGUUUAGCUAAUGUUGCCCGUACCGUAAACCGACACAGGUGGGUGGGAUGAGUAUUCUAAGGCGCGUGGAAGAACUCUCUUUAAGGAACUCUGCAAAAUAGCACCGUAUCUUCGGUAUAAGGUGUGGUUCGCUUCGUAUUAGGAUUUACUCCGAAAGCGAAGAAACUUACAACAAAGAGUCCCUCCCGACUGUUUACCAAAAACACAGCACUCUGCUAACUCGUAAGAGGAUGUAUAGGGUGUGACGCCUGCCCGGUGCUCGAAGGUUAAUUGAUGGGGUUAGCAUUAGCGAAGCUCUUGAUCGAAGCCCGAGUAAACGGCGGCCGUAACUAUAACGGUCCUAAGGUAGCGAAAUUCCUUGUCGGUUAAAUACCGACCUGCAUGAAUGGCGUAACGAGAUGGGAGCUGUCUCAAAGAGGGAUCCAGUGAAAUUGUAGUGGAGGUGAAAAUUCCUCCUACCCGCGGCAAGACGGAAAGACCCCGUGGACCUUUACUACAGCUUGACACUGCUAUUUGGAUAAGAAUGUGCAGGAUAGGUGGGAGGCUUUGAGUAUAUGACGCCAGUUGUAUAUGAGCCAUUGUUGAGAUACCACUCUUUCUUAUUUGGGUAGCUAACCAGCUUGAGUUAUCCUCAAGUGGGACAAUGUCUGGUGGGUAGUUUGACUGGGGCGGUCGCCUCCCAAAUAAUAACGGAGGCUUACAAAGGUUGGCUCAGAACGGUUGGAAAUCGUUCGUAGAGUAUAAAGGUAUAAGCCAGCUUAACUGCAAGACAUACAAGUCAAGCAGAGACGAAAGUCGGUCUUAGUGAUCCGGUGGUUCUGUGUGGAAGGGCCAUCGCUCAAAGGAUAAAAGGUACCCCGGGGAUAACAGGCUGAUCUCCCCCAAGAGCUCACAUCGACGGGGAGGUUUGGCACCUCGAUGUCGGCUCAUCGCAUCCUGGGGCUGGAGCAGGUCCCAAGGGUAUGGCUGUUCGCCAUUUAAAGCGGUACGCGAGCUGGGUUCAGAACGUCGUGAGACAGUUCGGUCCCUAUCUGCCGUGGGCGUAAGAAGAUUGAAGAGAUUUGACCCUAGUACGAGAGGACCGGGUUGAACAAACCACUGGUGUAGCUGUUGUUCUGCCAAGAGCAUCGCAGCGUAGCUAAGUUUGGAAAGGAUAAACGCUGAAAGCAUCUAAGCGUGAAGCCAACUCUAAGAUGAAUCUUCUCUAAGCUCUCUAGAAGACUACUAGUUUGAUAGGCUGGGUGUGUAAUGGAUGAAAGUCCUUUAGCUGACCAGUACUAAUAGAGCGUUUGGCUUAUCUUU
rnacentral:rRNA from 1 species